rnacentral:rRNA from 1 species
GUCCAGACACCUACGGGUGGCAGCAGUCGAGAAUCAUUCACAAUGGGCGCAAGCCUGAUGGUGCGACGCCGCGUGGGGGAUGAAGGGCUUCGGUCUGUAAACCCCUGUCAUCUGUGAGUAAGGUCUCGUAUAAAAGCUACGAGAAUUGAUAUUAACAGAAGAGGAAGGGACGGCUAACUCUGUGCCAGCAGCCGCGGUAAUACAGAGGUCCCAAGCGUUGUUCGGAUUUACUGGGCGUAAAGAGUGCGUAGGCGGUCGAAAAAGUUUGGUGUGAAAUCUUCGGGCUUAACCCGAAAACUGCAUUGAAAACUAUUUGACUAGAGGAUAGGAGAGGAGAUUGGAAUUCUCAGUGUAGCAGUGAAAUGCGUAGAUAUUGAGAGGAACACCAGUUGCGAAGGCGGAUCUCUGGACGAUUCCUGACGCUGAGGCACGAAAGCUGGGGGAGCGAAGAGGAUUAGAUACCCUCGUAGUCCCAGCCGUAAACGGUGCUCACUUGCUGUGGGCGGAUUCGACCCCGUCCGUGGCGAAGCUAACGCGUUAAGUGCGCCGCCUGGGGAGUACGGUCGCAAGAUUAAAACUCAAAGAAAUUGACGGGGGCCUGCACAAGCGGUGGAGUAUGUGGCUUAAUUCGAUGCAACGCGAAGAACCUUACCUGGCCUUGACAUGUAGUGGACUGGGUGCGAAAUCACCCUUUUCUUCGGAACUGCUACACAGGUGCUGCAUGGCUGUCGUCAGCUCGUGUCGUGAGAUGUUGGGUUAAGUCCCGCAACGAGCGCAACCCCCGUGUCCUGUUGCCACCCGGAUGAGAAUCCGGAGCACUCUGGACAGACUGCCUGGUUUCAACCAGGAGGAAGGUGGGGAUGACGUCAAGUCAGUAUGGCCCUUACGGCCAGGGCUGCACACGUACUACAAUGCCUAGUACAAUGGGACGCAAGACCGCGAGGUGGAGCAAAUCCCCAAAACUAGGCUCAGUUCAGAUUGUAGGCUGCAACUCGCCUACAUGAAGGAGGAAUCGCUAGUAAUGCCGUAUCAGCUACGACGGCGUGAAUACGUUCCCAGGCCUUGUACACACCGCCCGUCACAUCAUGAAAGUUGAUUGUACCCGAAGUCGCUGAGUUAACCGUAAGGAGACAAGUGCCGAAGGUAUGGUUGGUAAUUGGGAUGAAGUCGUAACAAGGUAGCCGUAGGGGAACCUGUGGCUG